rnacentral:lncRNA from 1 species
CUUUUGGGCUAGCUUAGGGGGAGCAAGCUUUCAGGGAGUUUCUGGGCUGGUUUGGAGGAUAUUCUGAAGCAUUGUAUCUUUCCUGGGAGAUUCAGAGUAUUUGAAGUUGAACGGGAGCUUACCACAGAAGGACAUUUUCAGGUAUGUCCAUUAUAAUUUUCCCAUAUCCUUCCAUUUUAGAUCUCUCUCAUGUCUCACUUUCUGUAAUCUCUACAUUGUUGGCUGGAUUGCUUGGUUGAGGGAUUAUUACUUGGAUAUCUGAAAUAGUUUGAGAUAUUCUAUGCUCUGCUCUGGUAAACAUUUUUCACCUUAAUCCACCGAUUGUUGGACUCAUGGAACAAAUAAUGAAGUGAGUUCAACACGUUCGUAAAAGGUUUCAUGUUCAUUUUCCUGUUGCUAUUUCUCUUUUUCCCCUGUUUAUGGCUCCAUUUCAUGAUGAUGAUGGAGUAAUGUCGGAAAUGGACGUUUGUGUCGAGUCUUUGGAGGUGGACGAGCCAGAUUAUGUGUCCAGGUUUGCAUUUUCCCGUUUCUAAGUGCCGGUGGUGACUGCAGAUGGGGCUCUUUAUUAUGCCAGUAGUGGUUGGGAAGUUUGAUGAAACAAUGUUAGUGCUUGAAAAGAUGUUGGCAGAGAACUUUAUGGAGAAAUGAAUUUUGGAAUGGGUCCCACCAGCAUGAUUUGCAUUUAAUGGUGUACAUAAAGCAUGUGUUUGGCUCAGCUAUGCAUGACCACUUUCUCUCAGGUGCGUGUCAUCC